AUUGAACGCUGGCGGCAUGCCUUACACAUGCAAGUCGAACGGUAACGGGCCUUCGGGUGCCGACGAGUGGCGAACGGGUGAGUAAUACAUCGGAACGUGCCCGAUCGUGGGGGAUAACGAGGCGAAAGCUUUGCUAAUACCGCAUACGAUCUACGGAUGAAAGCAGGGGACCGCAAGGCCUUGCGCGGACGGAGCGGCCGAUGGCAGAUUAGGUAGUUGGUGGGAUAAAAGCUUACCAAGCCGACAAUCUGUAGCUGGUCUGAGAGGAUGAUCAGCCACACUGGGACUGAGACACGGCCCAGACUCCUACGGGAGGCAGCAGUGGGGAAUUUUGGACAAUGGGCGCAAGCCUGAUCCAGCCAUGCCGCGUGCAGGAUGAAGGCCUUCGGGUUGUAAACUGCUUUUGUACGGAACGAAAAGCCUUCUUUUAAUACAGGAGGGUCAUGACGGUACCGUAAGAAUAAGCACCGGCUAACUACGUG
rnacentral:rRNA from 1 species